UGCAUGGCCAUCUUGGAGGUCCAUCUCUGGUAACUGCGGCCUGACAUGAGCUGCAAGGAUGGUGGCCACCAAGAAGACGAAACAGUCCCUAGAGCAGGGAGUCUAUCAACUCCGAGCUUUAGUUUGUUAUGAAAAGUGGUAAAUAUGUGCUAGGGUACAAGAAGACUCUGAAAAUGAUC